rnacentral:rRNA from 1 species
GACGAACGCUGGCGGCGUGCCUAACACAUGCAAGUCGAGCGAAAAGACGAGGAGCUUGCUCCUCUGACGUUAGACGCGGACGGGAGAGUAACAUGAGGAUAACCCACCUAUAAGACUGGGAUAACUUAGGGAAACCGGAGCUAAUACCGGACAAUCUAUUGAUCCGCAGGGUUGAAUAGUGAAAGUCGGUUUUGGUGUCACUUAUAGAUGGUUAUGCGCUUGAUGAGGUAGUUGGUAAGGUAACGGCUUACGAAGGCGGCGAUGGGUAGCCAACCUGAGAGGGUGAUGGGCCACACUGAGACUGAGCCACGGUCCAGGCUCCUACGGGAGGCAGCAGUAGGGAAGCUUCGGAAAUGGGCGAAAGCCUGACGGAGCAACGCCGCGUGAGUGCUGAAGGUCUUCGGAUCGGAAAACGCUGUUAUGGGGGAAAAACAAAUGUGUAAGUAACGAUGCACGUCUUGACGGUACCUGAUCAGAAAGCCACAGCUAACUACGUG